CCUACGGGAGGCAGCAGUAGGGAAUCUUCCGCAAUGGACGAAAGUCUGACGGAGCAACGCCGCGUGAGUGAUGAAGGCUUUCGGGUCGUAAAACUCUGUUGUUAGGGAAGAACAAGUGCUAGUUGAAUAAGCUGGCACCUUGACGGUACCUAACCAGAAAGCCACGGCUAACUACGUGCCAGCAGCCGCGGUAAUACGUAGGUGGCAAGCGUUAUCCGGAAUUAUUGGGCGUAAAGCGCGCGCAGGUGGUUUCUUAAGUCUGAUGUGAAAGCCCACGGCUCAACCGUGGAGGGUCAUUGGAAACUGGGAGACUUGAGUGCAGAAGAGGAAAGUGGAAUUCCAUGUGUAGCGGUGAAAUGCGUAGGGAUCUGAAGGAAUACCGGUGGCGAAGGCGGCCCCCUGGACAGAUACUGACACUCAGAUGCGAAAGCGUGGGGAGCAAACAGGAUUAGAUACCCUGGUAGUCCACGCCGUAAACGAUGUCUACUUGGAGGUUGUGGCCUUGAGCCGUGGCUUUCGGAGCUAACGCGUUAAGUAGACCGCCUGGGGAGUACGGUCGCAAGAUUAAAACUCAAAUGAAUUGACGGA
rnacentral:rRNA from 1 species